UACGUAGGUGGCAAGCGUUGUCCGGAUUUAUUGGGUUUAAAGGGCUCGUAGGCGGUCUGUUGCGUCGGGAGUGAAAACUUACAGCUUAACUGUGAGCGUGCUUUCGAUACGGGCAGACUUGAGGCAUUCAGGGGAGAACGGAAUUCCUGGUGUAGCGGUGAAAUGCGCAGAUAUCAGGAGGAACACCGGUGGCGAAGGCGGUUCUCUGGGAAUGUCCUGACGCUGAGGAGCGAAAGUGUGGGGAGCGAACAGG
rnacentral:rRNA from 1 species